GCCCUGUGAUGAGACCAAGGCGAAUGCGAGCUAAUUGGCCAGGGGACUGGGUUGCCUUGCCAACUGAUUGAUGGGUAAUCUUGGCAGUGUAGUGGAGAUUGGCUGCUCUGCUGUAAGGGCCCACCUACAAUAAACUUGACCUACUCCUCAAAACUCCUCCUCAGAGACACAGGGGGAGGUGGAAUGGAUCAGACAGUGUGUGUGUGUGUGUGUGUGUGUGUCAGGAGGCUGGCAGACUCAGCUCUAUGUUAGUCACUUGGCUAUGAGCGGUUUCUUUGGUAAUCUGAGGGCA